CCAGGAGGAAAGAGCUCUCUUCUGUGGAAAAGAAGGGAAGCCUGAUGAAGGAGCAGCAUCUGACAGCUGUGGGAUGAAGAGCUCUGUUGCUUUAUCUCAUGACUUCUGGCAGUGUUCCAUACUCAUUCCCUGGCCUCACUAAGGGCAGGACCACACUAAUCAUAUGUUCCAGGCUGAAAGAGGAGGUGGAGCAGUGCAAAUGGCUCAGGGACAGCAGCGCCGAGGUGCUAAGAAAGCACAUAUCUGGAGUUACUCUCUCAGGAUCACAUGGACUCAUCCAUCACCUUGGCUGGAAGGAGAGACCACUGAUGGCCUGAUUGGUCACAGCAGAGCCCUGUGAGGGAGAUGUAGGUGUGAUCACCACCCCUGUAGCUCCAGAUGUCCUAGGUGACAUGUAAGGCCACCUGCGGAACUGCCUUGUGCAGCUCCUCCCUCAAGUAUUGCCUGCAUGCCUCAUACAGGGAGGGCACCACUGGAAAGGAUGAGGCCAUGAGUGCCAUGAGCCAUCUGAACCCUGGCCGCUCAACUAAGGAGAAGAACUGGGCAUCAGCAGUAAGCACCUCCCCAGUGCUCUGGGUGAUCUUGCUCUACCUUGUAACAUGCUCCACUGUUUGUCCUCCUUUUCCCCACUGUUCCAGGGUGGCCUGCCUCUGCUUUGGGGGGAAAGGGGCUUUGGAGCGAGAGGGGGACUUCCCUUUGGGCAUGCUCCCACUCAUGCCAGGCUGAGGUGGAGCAAGGGCAAGGGGGUGGUGCAUGUAUUGGCAUUAGGGUUUUGUGAGUCUUCGUAUCCUGCUUCGGAUCCGGAGCUGCUUCAGAUACUUUGGCGUCUGAAGCGGCAUGCCUGGAUCGAAGCGGGGUCUCGGCAAUGAUAUCCAAAGCAGGUCGGAGCAUCCAAAGAGCUUUGGAUCUGCUUCAGAUGCUUUGGACCUGCUUUGGCCAUCUUGAGUCACAAUUAGAAGAG